GCCCAGAUCGCAUAAUCCGGUAUUGCGUCGGUCUCGAAAACCGAUGCCGCAAGGCUUCCCGGUUCAAAUCCGGGUCUGGGCG
rnacentral:tRNA from 1 species